GUAUAUAAGGCAACCCGCUUAACAUCACGUUUUCUUCUUCAGUUCAGUAGCUCCUGUUCCCUCGGCACCAACUCAAGCUCUUUUCGCCAUGGAUUACAUGAAAACAGUAGUCCCUACGAACCUCUUCACCGAGCGUGGCUCCAAUAUCGUCGUCAUUAAUCCAGGUUCCGCAAAUAUCAGAAUUGGAUUGGCUAAUCAGGAUACUCCAUUCAAUAUACCUCAUUGCAUUUCCCGUCGCACUACUCAAUUACCUAAACGACAUGUUCAAGAUCAAAUGCUGAAUUCUCAGGUUACAACUGCACAGCAUAUGGAGCGGGAAAGAGCGUAUGACAUGAUUGCUUCGCUGUUGAGAAUUCCAUUCUUGGAUGAGGAGGUAGCUAACAGUUCUUAUCCACGCAAGAUGGGACAUGUGGAUGCAUAUCCUCCGCAGAAUAACACGAAAGAGCCAGAGUUCACUUGGACUGAUGUUUUAGAAAAAAAUGUCCCUCAUUCUUCAACAAAGGCAGUAGAAGCCGAACCAAACGAGGGUGGUACCAGCGAGGACCCCACUCUGAAGGAAAGCAAGAUUAAGGUUGAAUAUAAUUCCAGUGAACGUAAAUAUAGAGAGUACAUAUGUGGAGAGGAAGCUCUACGAAUAUCCCCAACUGAACCAUAUUGCUUGUGCCGUCCUAUACGCCGAGGUCAUCUUAAUAUAUCUCAACAUUACCCUACGCAGCAGGUUCUUGAAGACCUGCAUACCAUCUGGGAUUGGAUUUUGGUUGAGAAAUUGCAUAUUCCUCAUAGCAUGAGAAACAUGUAUUCUGCAAUCCUUGUUCUUCCAGAGACAUUCGACAGUCGUGAAAUUAAAGAAAUGCUUUCUAUCGUGUUGCGAGACUUGCGCUUCAGCUCAGCAGUAGUCCACCAGGAAGGUCUUGCUGCAGUUUUUGGAAAUGGUUUAUCAACGGCAUGCAUUGUCAAUAUUGGUGCUCAAGUGACAUCUGUUAUCUGUGUUGAGGAUGGAGUGACUAUACCCACGACACAGAUAUCUUUACGUUUCGGCGGAGAGGAUAUAUCAAGAUGCCUUCUCUGGACGCAGAGGCAUCAUCAAACAUGGCCACCAAUUCGGACUGAUGCCCUGUCAAAGCCUGUAGAUUUGCUAAUGCUUAACAGGCUUAAGGAGUCCUACUGUCAGAUCAAAGAGGGGGAAGUAGAAGCUGUUGCUAUGGUACAAUCAUAUGAAGAUGGAGUGCCACCUGGAUCUCAUAAGACAAGGCUGACUGCUCUUAAUGUUCCUCCAAUGGGUUUAUUUUACCCAACGCUUUUGGCUCCAGACGUCUAUCCUCCGCCACCACGUUCUUGGUUUAAUGAUUAUGAUGAUAUGCUUGAGGACACAUGGCACAUGGACUUCCCUGGUGGUAGUGCAUUUCCGAUGUGGGAGAACUACCCAAUUUUUCAAACAAAGCCAAAGAAAGAAGAUAAUAUUGGUCUAGCUGAAGCUAUUACAAAGAGCAUUCUUUUGACAGGGCGUAUUGACCUGCAGAGAAAAUUGUUUUGCAGCAUGCAACUGAUUGGUGGAGCUGCACUGAGUGACGGUCUCAUUCCUGCUGUGGAGGAAAGAGUAUUACAUGCAAUCCCUUCACAUGAAGCAAUUGAUACUGUGGAGGUCUUGCAAUCAAGAACGAAUCCAGCUUUUGUGUCAUGGAAAGGCGGAGCAAUCCUCGGCAUUCUUGAUAUUAGUAGGGAUGCGUGGAUUCAUCGAGAGGACUGGAUUAAAAAUGGGAUCCACAUUCGCAGUGGGAGAAAGUACAAGGAUUCAUAUUAUCUUCAAGCACAGGCAAUGUGUUAUAUAAAUUCAUAAUAGGUAUUAUGUGUUGGCUUUUCUUUUUCUUUUUCUUCUCUUUCUCUCUCUCAGAUUGAAUGGGACGGGCAAAGAGAAUGGGAAGGGGGCAGAAAUUAAUCUAGAAAUGAUGAGGCUAUGGGAGGCUUCCUGCAGGGUUAUGAGAUUGAGAAGACGGAAACUGGGGCUUGAGGGCCACAUUUUCUUCGGUCUUUGUGGCUUCUCUUGAAGACAGAGGAACUGAGCGCCUGACUCCUCCCUCCCGACUCAUUUGAUUAAUGCUUGUUAUCAUCUCAUUCUGGAGUACAUAGUAGCACUUGUGAAAGAGGAUAUCGACAGUCCUGAAAAUCAGUCAAGAAAAGUUAUUGCUGAUCGAGUCCAAUCUGGAGUACAUACUGGGUAACUAAGUCACUUAUAACGGGUAAUUUAAAUCUUGCUAACCAUUGUUUUCUAGUAGCUGACAUAUUGAGCGCCUAUUGCCGACCUCAAUGUCAUUCAACUGAAUAUCAAUUUGAUAAACGAUUCAAAAUCCUAUUAGUUGCACGUUGUUGUUCAUGCUAGUUGCUAUGUACCAUUGUUGUUCCGCAGCCGACAUAUUCACUCACUCCAUCCAGAUUUGUUUACCGAUUUCCUCUUUUUUUAAUCAACCAUUUGACUAUUUUAACAUAUUUUUAAUUACUAGUCUUUUAAUAGACAAGUCCAGCAGAUAUAUUAAAUGUCGUACUCUAUCAAAUGAUUUCACAGAAAAUGCAACGCAAAGAGCAAACGAAAGCUAUAUUUUGGAAAUUGAGAUUAUCAUGCCAGUACUUGGUCUGUUCAAUUACUUAGGGAGAAAGAAAACAAAACAAAACUGCUUGACUUGAAAAGAAGAGAAGGAAAGAAAAAAGUCUCAAGUUAUCCCACAUCGGUAAGUGAGCAAAUAUGAAAGCCAGGAGCUGAGUAUUAAAAGGAAAGAGUGAAGAAUGUUGAAAACUUAAAAAGGGUCGGUUGGCUAAAUAUGCCACACUCGCCCGAGUGGUGAGUGCCGUAUGGAUAUCAAGACAUAUGGCCGACAUAAUUUGUGGAACUAUUAUAGGGUUGGCUCGUCGGCCGACCCUCCA